rnacentral:rRNA from 1 species
UUUUAGUAACAUACAACCUCCACAAUGCCCGACUUCAUCUGAUCUGAAGCAGGGUUGGGCCUGGUUAGUUCUUGGAUGGGAGACCGCUGGAAAUACUUGGUGCUGCCAAAGU